rnacentral:rRNA from 1 species
UACGUAGGAUGCAAGCGUUGUCCGGAUUUACUGGGCGUAAAGCGCGCGCAGGCGGCACAUUAAGUAAGGUGUGAAAUAUCCCGGCUCAACCGGGGGGGUGCACUUUAGACUGAUGAGCUUGAGGUCGGUAGAGGGGGGUGGAAUUGCUGGUGUAGCGGUGAAAUGCGUAGAGAUCAGCAGGAACACCCGUGGCGAAGGCGGCCCCCUGGGCCGUACCUGACGCUGAGGCGCGAAGGCUAGGGGAGCGAACGGG